GACGAACGCUGGCGGCGUGCCUAAUACAUGCAAGUAGAACGCUGAAGGAGGAGCUUGCUUCUCUGGAUGAGUUGCGAACGGGUGAGUAACGCGUAGGUAACCUGCCUGGUAGCGGGGGAUAACUAUUGGAAACGAUAGCUAAUACCGCAUAAUAGUAGAUGUUGCAUGACAUUUGCUUAAAAGGUGCAAUUGCAUCACUACCAGAUGGACCUGCGUUGUAUUAGCUAGUUGGUGGGGUAACGGCUCACCAAGGCGACGAUACAUAGCCAACCUGAGAGGGUGAUCGGCCACACUGGGACUGAGACACGGCCCAGACUCCUACGGGAGGCAGCAGUAGGGAAUCUUCGGCAAUGGACGGAAGUCUGACCGAGCAACGCCGCGUGAGUGAAGAAGGUUUUCGGAUCGUAAAGCUCUGUUGUAAGAGAAGAACGAGUGUGAGAGUGGAAAGUUCACACUGUGACGGUAUCUUACCAGAAAGAGACGGCUAACUACGUG
rnacentral:rRNA from 1 species